rfam:Rattus norvegicus chromosome 13, whole genome shotgun sequence.
CUGCUUUGAGGAAAAACAGAAUAAAGACUGCAUGUUU